rnacentral:lncRNA from 1 species
UAGUCAGGCACCCCCGUUUUAUAUUAAGUUUGCACUAAUACAUAUAUACAUAUGUACAUAUGUAUGUGUAUAUGUAUAUGUAUAUGAGCGUGGACCUACAUAAAUAUGUACGUACGAUAGCCUCGCAACCUAAGUUAAUGUAUUUAUGUACUAAAAGAGCAUACCAUAGCGUGUGCAUCAUCAAAUAUAAAGUAUUAAAAUACAAAACUCACAACAAAAACAACAAUUUUAUAUUUAAAAAACAGUUUGUUCAUAAUGGUCAGUCAAAUUAUAGCUACGAAAAAAAAGAAACAAUAAAUAAAGAAAAUACAUUUGAUACAGCAUGUCAGUUUAGUGUUGACGACUAUGUUAUGAAUAAAAAAGUUCCAAGCAAAAAUGAAAAAAUAAAUAAAAACUAUCAAUACGUAUUAAAGGAUAUGGUAAUUGAAAAUGGAAGUGCAGACAAAAAAAAAAGACCCUUCACAACUGAAGCAAAGUAUUUGACACACGACUUAUGUACUACUGCUGCUACUGAUGCUGCUACUACUACUACUACUAAUACUACUACUAAUAAUACUACUACUAAUACUACUAAUACUACUACUACUAAUACUACUACUAAUACUACUACUAAUACUACUACUAAUACUACUAAUACUACUACUACUACUAAUAAUACUACUACUAAUACUAUUAAUACUACUACCGGCACGAACCCAAUUCAAUUACAAGCAAAGCUAAAAAUAGAAAAAAUUUUGCUAAUGCUUAAAAAAAAAAAAAAAAAAAUAAGUCAUAACGUAAUAAAUGAAAUAAUGUCAAUAAUAAAUAUUAAUCUUGAAAUAAAAAACAUAUAUAUAAAUAAGGAUUUAAUUUUAUCGUUUCAUCAUAUGUUAAUAAAAAAAAAAUAUUAUUUGAAUAACAUAAAAAAUAUAAUAUAUCAAAAUUGUGCUAUAAAUAUAUUCGAAUUUAUACAUUAUAAUAUUAACCUACAUUUGGAAAAGUACAAACUCAAAGACAUUUACAUAUUAUUACAUAAUUUAUCUGUAUAUAUACAUAAAAAUAAACAGCAAAAUAACAUAUUGGAUGACUUAAUUAGACGUAUUUUUUAUCAUCAUUUUUUUAAACAUACAAAUAAAUUUGUAUAUAGAAAACAAGGACUGUUGUUAGAUAAACGCAUAAAUGCGUCUGAGCCUGCUCAUGUUAGUACUAUUUUUUCAAGUACAAACGAAAUUAAAAAUGUAAGUAACUGCAUUACAGCCCCGUUUACGACAAACCAUCCCUCCCAAACCAAAUUAUAUAACUACAGAAAUAACGAACAAACUACUUUUUUAUACAUAAAUAGAUACGUAAUUUUUUUAUCAAAUCAUAAAAAAUAUGUAAACGAAAAAAUUUUAUACCAAAUUUGUUUAUUAGCAAAAAAACUUAUUGAAUAUGAUAUAAAUCCUAAAUUUAUUUUAUCUUAUUUAUCAGCUAGCUUAAACAUAUAUAAACAACAAAAAAAAGAAAAAUAUAAUUUAUUUAUAUAUAAAAAAAUAAAUUACAUUUUGUUUAAUAUCGUUUUGGAUUAUGUUAAUAGGAUAGAACUAAAAAAAAAACGUUUAGUGAAAAAUGUCGAUAGUCAUAGUAUACAAGGGUUUGAGGGGGGCGAAUGCGAAGUUAUGACAAAUAAAAAGGCAAAAGCGAAAGUAAACAGUGUAGGGAUGGAGAAUGAAAAUGCUACUUACACAUCACAAACAGAAGCCAAACAAAUUGACAAUAAAAUUGACAAUAAAAUUGACAAUAAAAUUGACAAUAAAAUUGACAACAAAAGUGAAAACAAAAGUGACAAUAAAAUUGACAAUAAAAUUGACAAUAAAAUUGACAACAAAAGUGACAAUAAAAGUGAAAACAAAAGUGACAACAAAAGUGACAACAAAAUUGACAACAAAAGUGACAACAAAAUUGACAACAAAAGUGACAACAAAAGUGAAAACAAAAGUGACAAUAAAAUUGACAAUCAAAACGAUGCCUUUCCCACCAUAUGGCACUAUUCACAUAUUAUACAAAUUUUAAACGUCUUAAAAAUUGAUAGAAUUUUGUCAUAUGACUUGAACAAAGAAAACGCAAAAAGCGUACAAACAAACACAGACCCCAAUAUAAACAAUUCGCAGUCCCUAAAGCAAUUAUUGUAUAAUGUUCUAGAACAUAUGAAAAGAUUAAUCGAAAAUUUUCAAAACGGUUUUUUUUUGUCAUCACAAAAUGAGUUAAACACUUUUUUUUGUAUUUACAUACACAUCUCUACUUUACU